AUUGAACGCUGGCGGCAGGCCUAACACAUGCAAGUCGAACGAGUGGCGGACGGGUGAGUAAUGUCUGGGAAACUGCCCGAUGGAGGGGGAUAACUACUGGAAACGGUAGCUAAUACCGCAUACCAUCGGAUGUGCCCAGAUGGGAUUAGCUAGUAGGUGGGGUAAUGGCUCACCUAGGCGACGAUCCCUAGCUGGUCUGAGAGGAUGACCAGCCACACUGGAACUGAGACACGGUCCAGACUCCUACGGGAGGCAGCAGUGGGGAAUCUUGCACAAUGGGCCCAAGCCUGAUGCAGCCAUGCCGCGUGUAUGAAGAAGGCCUUCGGGUUGUAAACCGCUUUCAGCCAUGACGCGGUAGUGGCAGAAGAAGCACCGGCUAACUACGUGCCAGCAGCCGCGGUAAUAC
rnacentral:rRNA from 1 species